AUUGAACGCUGGCGGAAUGCUUUACACAUGCAAGUCGAACGGCAGCACGGACUUCGGGCUGGUGGCGAGUGGCGAACGGGUGAGUAAUAUAUCGGAAAGUGCCCAGUCGUGGGGGAUAACGUAGCGAAAGCUACGCUAAUACCGCAUACGAUCUACGGAUGAAAGCGGGGGAUCGCAAGACCUCGCGCGAUUGGAGCGGCCGAUAUCAGAUUAGGUUGUAGGUGAGGUAAAGGCUCACCAAGCCGACGAUCUGUAGCUGGUCUGAGAGGACGACCAGCCACACUGGGACUGAGACACGGCCCAGACUCCUACGGGAGGCAGCAGUGGGGAAUUUUGGACAAUGGACGCAAGUCUGAUCCAGCCAUUCCGCGUGCAGGACGAAGGCCUUCGGGUUGUAAACUGCUUUUGUACAGAACGAAAAGGUCUCUAUUAAUACUAGGGGCUCAUGACGGUACUGUAAGAAUAAGCACCGGCUAACUACGUGCCAGCCGCCGCGGUAA
rnacentral:rRNA from 1 species